CGACCGGCGCACGGGUGAGUAACGCGUAUGUAAUCUACCUGUAACAGAGGGAUAACCCGGAGAAAUCCGGACUAAUACCUCAUAGCACAUAUUAUUCGCAUGAAUUUUAUGUUAAAGAGACUCGGUUACAGAUGAACAUGCGUUCCAUUAGCUAGUUGGCGGGGUUACGGCCCACCAAGGCAACGAUGGAUGGGGGUUCUGAGAGGAAGGUCCCCCACACUGGUACUGAGACACGGACCAG
rnacentral:rRNA from 1 species